rnacentral:snRNA from 1 species
UUGUUUGCUUUGGCAACACAGAUGCUAAAAUUACAACAACAAAAAGAUUAGCACAGCCCAUGUGCAAGCAUGACACACACGCAUUAAAUGCACCAUGGUCUCUU